rnacentral:lncRNA from 1 species
AUUAUUUCUAUAUUAGGUUCGCGAAGAUGUCCUUGGAGCUUUAAAUAAUAAUUUUCUUCAAACUUUGAACAAUGCUUGGAAUGAUCAUCAAACAUCCAUGGUAAUGAUUAGAGAUAUUCUAAUGUAUAUGGUAAGUUUUCAUUUUAAUUUAUUCAUAAUUUAAUCUUUUACUAAUAGCUUGACCGAUCACUUUAAUAAGUAAUCAAAGUGCAUACACUUCAUGAUUAUGAAAACUAAGCUAUAUUAGUACAAAUCUACUGGAUGGUUAUCGUUGAAAGGGAAAUUGGGUUGAUAGAAACCAUUUGGAAGCUCAUUCGAUGGACUGUAUGUAAGUAAAGAGCAAACUUUGCCAUUACUAAUUUUACCUGUAAUUCUCAGGUAAAAAUGUAAUUGGCUGAGUUUUCUAUAAAACUCAGCCAAUUACAUCUAUUUACUAAGUAGGUAGUUUCAUUAAGCAACCAGAACAGUUAUUGAAACGAAAUCCAUAAUAUAUACCAUGCAGAUAGAAGAAAUGUGAAAGAUGAGUGAGGAAAAAAUUGGUAUCCUGGAAAAUAUAUGAAAAUUAGGGGUGGGGGGACUAGGUACAGGCAUGACCAUGUGGUUCAGAAGCUUGCUUUGCAACAACAUGGUUUCAGGUUCAGUACCACUAUGCAGGACUUCUAAUAUAGCCCUGAGCCAACCAAUGCUUUGUGAGCUAAUUUGGUUGACAGAAGAUUCUUAAGAACAAUUUUAUAAAGAAAGCUCUUUCUGGAUUUCAGGUAGUUUCUGGUGAGCUGAUACUUAUUUCUCAACUUAUCUAGUAAUUUCUUUCUUCAAGCUUCAUGGGAAAUUCAUUAAUAUUAAUUUUGAAACCUGAAAUAUCCAAGAAUAGUGACAGUUCAGCAUGCAUAGAUCUUUUUCUCAGGCUGUUUUAAGUAUAUCCAACAAAAAUAAAAAGUUGGUAUGUUUUACUCCCUAUUAGAAAGGUUGUGAUCUUUGAUUUUGUCUUUGCUUAUUGAAAGUGAAGAUAUACUUGAGACAAACAUUAAAGCAUCAGGGAUUUUGGUACUAUUCAACUUUAUUCUAAGUCAUGUGUUGUCUUUUUACUUCUGUUUGAGGUUAUCAAAUUACACUCUUUGAUAUAACUCAAGAAUGUCCACUUUUUGUUCUUAGAGAAAUUUAUCUGGAUGGCAUUGUAUAUAUGUAAGGGUGUGCACAUUACAAGGUACAAGUCUUUACUCAGCAGAAGAUUGUUGAAUUGUCAUUACAUAUGAUUGCCAAUAUUACUAAAUAGGAUGCUUUCAACAUCAAUGCUUUUGCUAUGUCUAGGAUUCUUUUAGAAAAUAAAUUAAGGCUGCAAGAUUGUAAGUUACUGUUAUUAGGUCUUUUAGACUUAUUCUGACUUUCAUUUAACUUCAUCUAGGUGAAAGGUUGCAUGUCACUGAUAAUAAAAUGUUGGUCAACAUUGAAUAUGAGACUGCAAAUCAUGAAAUUGUAGCUUGAAGUUAUAACAGGUAUAUAACAGUAACUAAAGAUAGUGAGGUUAGCUGGCCUUAACCCUUUUGUUACAAUAUAUCUGCUGAAAUUGUCUUUCUUUUUUAUCUCCAAUUUUUAGAAUAGUGAAGAAUUUAACGAGAUCACUUUGUUGUUAUAAAUCUUGUGUUUCAAACAUAAAUUGAUAUGAAAUUUUUAUGGAAAGUUUUGAUUUAGAUCAAUGACAUUUGUAUCAUAGAACCAGUGUCUAACCUGGCCAAAAAAGUUUUUGGUUCAUAAUACCAACCCGGCCGAGAGAACCUAUUGUUAUUUAAAUGUAAAUUUGAACCCAAAUCUCAUUGGUACAUUCGUUAAAACACGUGAUUUCACUUUGUAAAUAGUUGGGUUAUAGUAUCCGACAUUGCUUGACAUGAUAUCUCAACUCAGUGAAAUUUUGGGAGAUUUUUUUUUUGGCAUCGAUUUUUCUUCAACUUUGAAAAUGGAUAGGAGUUUCAUGUUAUCAAGCAUUGAUUCCGAAUUUAAAGCUUUUCCAACGGAAAAUAGGGAGAUAUCGAGAAAAAGAAUGAAUGAGGUACAAAAGCACGUGGUGUACAAUAAUGAAUAGGAUAUUUUUUCUUAUCCGAAAAUGAAAACAGUGAUUCUGAAGAAACUGAAAGCGGCGACAGCAAAGACGAUUUUAUAUCGGAAUGAAGUAAAAAACUUUAAAAAUGUUUUUAUUAGCAAUUUUUCUGAGGAGACAGUCUAUCCAUAGUCUUUCUUAGGAAGCGAAACCAUUAAACUUUUAUUUUUUUCAGUAUGCUUGUUUGAAGUGAUCACUGCGGAAACAAACUGUUACGCAGAAUGUAAACAAACACGAAAUGGGGGAUCAAAGUUUGGAAAAAUUUGUGAAGCAAAUGCUGGGUACUAUUGUGGAUUUAGUUUUUAUACAGGGAAAAUAAUAUUAGUCAACAUGGCUUAGGGUACGAUGUGGUCUGGAAGUUAUUGUUUGAAGUGAUCACUGCGAAAACAAAUUUACGCAGAAUGUAAACAAACACAAAAUGGAGGAUCAAAGUUUGGAAAAUUUUUGAAGUAAAUACUGGGUACUGCUGUGGAUUUAGUUUUUAUACAGGGAAACUAAUGUUAGUCAGCAUGGCCUAGGGAACGAUGUGGUCUGGAAUUUAUCACUUCCAUUCUAUAACCAGGGCCGUAUAUUAUUUUUUGACCGAUUUCUUUAGUUCAGUCAAACUUGCAGUGGAUUCCAGUAUUUCAGUUUAUUCCACUUUUAUGGUACACCUGUUGUGCAUUAAAUUCAACUGAUGAUCUAGUGAUGUGCACAAUACUUCUUUAUCAAAAUUUUGUUGCAUACCCAAUAUUAGCUGAUGAUUCAUUUUCUAUGGUGAUGUUUAAACAAAAUUUUAAUAUUUUUAGCUUUUGCUCAAUUUACCUGUAAUUAAAGUCACUUUGAGACAAAAGUUAUGCAACAGAAUUGAUUAAGAACCUUUUCUUUAAUUAUGUUCCAAAUAUCACAUUAAUAUGUUGAUAAGUAAAAAAGUUACAGUUAUUUAAUGAAACAAGCCUAAAUUCAUGAUUAUUUUAGAAUUUAAUUGAAACUCAUGAGGGGUGUAUUUUGGUCAGAAAUAUAGUAACGAAAGGGUUAAAUGGUUUAGUAUCAAAAGGGUUGAGGAAGCAGUUUCAGAUAUCAAAUAUCAAAAGAGACCUAACUCCAUAAAAUGUAAAUGAGAAAAGAAACAAAGGAAAUCAAGAAGAAAUUUAGAUAGAGAUAAUGAAAGAGGGAAGACAGACAAAGAGACCUAACUCCAUAAAAUGUAAAUGAGAAAAGAAACGAAGGAAAUCAAGAAGAAAUUUAGAUAGAGAUAAUGAAAGAGGGAAGACAGACAAAGCUACCUUCUUCCAGUUCUUUGAUUAUCACCCAAUAUUUAACCCAUCAAUAAUUGUACAACCUCAAAAUUCCUUCAAAUUUAUGAAAUUAAAGAAAAAAAUACUGAAUCAUCUUUAUUUUAAAAUAUGUGAAUUAGUUUUUACUUGAUAAUUUUUUUCUAUAAGUUUUUAAUUUAAAUCUAUUUUUAAAAAUCUUUUCGCAGGACAGAGUGUAUGUACAACAGAAUAAUGUUGACAAUGUGUACAAUCUUGGUUUAAUGAUAUUCAGAGACCAAGUAGUACGGCAUCCCAUUAUUCGAGAGCAUCUAAGAACUACAUUAUUAGAAAUGGUGUCUAAAGAACGCAAAGGGGAAAUAGUUGACAGGUAAGGUAUU